GAUGAACGCUGGCGGCGUGCCUAAUACAUGCAAGUCGAGCGAACGGACGAGAAGCUUGCUUCUCUGAUGUUAGCGGCGGACGGGUGAGUAACACGUGGAUAACCUACCUAUAAGACUGGGAUAACUUCGGGAAACCGUAGCUAAUACCGGAUAAUAUUUUGAACCGCAUGGUUCAAAAGUGAAAGACGGUCUUGCUGUCACUUAUAGAUGGAUCCGCGCUGCAUUAUCUAGUUGGUAAGGUAACGGCUUACCAAGGCAACGAUGCAUAGCCGACCUGAGAGGGUGAUCGGCCACACGGGAACUGAGACACGGUCCAGACUCCUACGGGAGGCAGCAGUAGGGAAUCUUCCGCAAUGGGCGAAAGCCUGACGGAGCAACGCCGCGUGAGUGAUGAAGGUCUUCGGAUCGUAAAACUCUGUUAUUAGGGAAGAACAUAUGUGUAAGUAACUGUGCACAUCUUGACGGUACCUAAUCAGAAAGCCACGGCUAACUACGUG
rnacentral:rRNA from 1 species